AUGCUCCGCCCCAUCCUCAUCGUGCGAGCGUCUUUCCUUCCCCGACUCAUCGCUGAUGCCGAUCAUUGGCUGGCGAUGUGCCCUAGCACCGCACAGAUCCAUCAUCUUCUCCUCUCCAGUGCCCUAACAUCGAAUCACUCCGGUCACUUCUCUCGAUCCAUCGCCGACAGCACCUGAGUUCCACUCGUCGCCGCCGCCCCUUCCCGUGAGACCAGAUCAUGUGAGGCCAGAUUCCUCAUCCUCUCCUUGUGUCUAUGAUGCCCAAUUCCCAAAUGCCACCGAUCAAGCUACACCAACUGUCGUGAACCCAAUCAUCGUAUUGCCUUGAUUGCCAGACAUUGGUGCCCUAGCUCUGAUUCUUUUCUCCUUGAUUCUUCUCACUGUCGUAGCCUGAUCCAUCACCGUUGGAGCCUCUUGUCGCCUAGCCUGGUCGAAUUUCCUCCACAAGCAUGGGUUGUUGCUGUUGGCCCCUUUCUGGCCAUGAGUCUUUAUCGUCCCUUCGGUCGUGCCCUAGUUUUGGAUCCACUGUCGUCCCUCUCUCCAUCCGAGAUCACCUCAGCCAUCAAUCACCACUCUUUCGACCAUAAGAAGUUACGAUGUGCCCUUUUCAUUUAUGUUUUUCCUUCCAUUUAAUUUUCGACCAUGGUGCUCAUCUGAUCUACAUAUGGCUUGCAUAUCCAACCUGAAAGCACUACGACCUUGCUUAAUUCUGGCUAGCAAGUGUUGUUUUGGGGUACUUGGCAUAGAGGAUAGUAGCUUCACAAUCCUCCAGUGAUAAAUUCCGACAGUUAUUGCUCCAGUCGCAAGUUAACAGAGGAGCAUACGGAUUUAGUAGGUAAAGAAUUUAUGGAGUCGCUUGGAGAUCCUGUCCGCUGGUCCCAUGUCACAUCGAGUGGCUUUUUCUAUUAUUGCUUUCGUUUACAUUUUUGGCUUUGAACUUGUUCGUGUAUAGGUAUCUUUUGUAUGAAGUUUAGUUUUGUGGUUUCCUGUAUUUGUAUUGAUGUGUUUUGUUGUUGUUGUGUCAAGCCGAGCCGACUCACAGUUAGUUGUUUUGUGAUUUUGCAUUAGUUAUUUUGUGACUUCUA